CUUCAUUAAUGGUUGCUUCUGUCACUUUCAAGCAAGUUCUAUAAAAAUUUUACAUACAUAAUUGACCAAAUCCUUUUCUUGUUUCCUCUCAGGCAGCAUCACUGAAGUCAAGUGAGAAUAGAACACUGCUGAAGUCUGAGUGGGGCUGCUUAUGCAGGAUCUG
rnacentral:lncRNA from 1 species